ACCGACAUAGCAUUAACAGUGUGGACAUUAAUAUCUGAAUAACUUUUUUUUGUUUUGUGUAUUGCAGCAGGACUAGAACAAUCGACCGCAGGAUUUCUUUGUGACUUUUUCGGUUACGUGAAGGGUUACGGAAAGUUACUUUGGGGUGACACUCAGUGACUAUCUUUGUGCGCGUUGAAUACUGUUUUACGUUGAGUGGUUGGUUCAACUCGGACAGAAAACCAGUGAGUAUAAUUGAGAUACUGCUACCGAUUGUUUCAUUGUACAAUCACUGUAGCUAAGAUAGUGAUAUCAUACCGCCUUCAUAUAAUAGGGUAUUGUUCACUGCUACUAUUUACUGUUCAUCGUUUGAAUAAAGAAAGAUUUGUUGUUUUUUCCCUUACACACUAUUAUCCUGAGCAACUUUAUUCCAGGCUGAAACAAGGUAGGGAUAUAAAAGUCAUAAGGACUUGGAGAUAUUUACUUGUGAUUUUAUUUGCUUUUGAACCAUAAUAGCUGAUUUCUGAUAAAUAAAGUUGACUUGUUUUUAUUAUUGCUGCAACAGUGAAUAUAAGUUUUUGUUGCUGUGUAUUCCUUAUUUCUGAGUUUACUGAUUGCCUGAAACAUUUUUAUUUUGUGUUGAAAUGCUGAUGAAUUUUUGAAACAAGUGAUUAUCGUUAUUGAUUUGAAUAAAGACUUGCAUUGAUUUUCUUUGUCUGAUAUUCCAGGAUUGCUGAAUUGUUGUUGAUUUAUUUGAAAUAUAUUUUGACUGUGAAUAAAAUUUGUAACGGUUCGAUUUACACCAUUGGAUAUUUCGGUUGGUAGUACGCCCUCUGGAAGUUGAUUGUUGAUUCAACUCGGAAUGUUCCGUAUUAAUAUAAAUAUCAAUUUAUUGUGGAACACUUAUUUCCGGAUAAAUGAGGUCGAUUAUUAUUACCGUGGGGAAAUAUUUUAUAAUUUCUGGAUUUCUUGUAUUAAUUUUCUUCUGUGUGGGAAGUUUUAUUUGACAACUGGUAGAUUCUGUGGUUAUGGAUUGUCAAAAUGGAGGUUAUCGGCGAUUUGAGAGAAUUUUGAAAGGGAUUUUUUUGGAAGGAAAUUGGACUUGAAUUGGAGAAUAUAUGAUCUCGAAUCAUCCUUGUUAUAGGCGAUUAUUUCUUCAAUUUGGGUAAUUCCCUGUAUGGUUUAUGGUAUUGUGAAUAAUUUUGGGAAAUACGUUUUAUACGUGAUUAUGAGAAUUUUCUUCCACAAGGCCCAUCUCUGGUAUUGAAUUUUACUCUGAAGAUCUGAGAGGAUUCGCUUCCCGCCGAUAAGUUCGAACACCUGUUGAACUUACACGAAGAAUAUCAAGAAGAUCCUUUUCCCUCGAACAACAACUGAGAGGGUCCUAGUGCCUGGAUAUUUUUGGGAAUCCUAGUGCCUGGGUUGAAUUGAAGAAUCCUAGUGCCUGGUUACGUUCUGGAGUCUGGUAUAUGGUAUGGUUUGAGGUUAUGGUACUUAUUUUCUGGUGAAUUUCUGGUGCAGUUCUGAUGUAUGAUACAUUCUGAUACAUGGUACAGUUCGAGUACAUAGUAUAUUGCUGACAUAUGGUGUAGCUCGAGUAGAUGGUACAUUCUACGUUUAGAGACCUCACCGUUUAGAUUUGCUGUCAACCUCCAAUAUUGAUUUUGUAUCAGGUAACCGGUGCUUGCACUGGCUUUAAUGAGUAUUGUACUGAGAUUUAAUUUUUGAAGUAACGAUUUAGUGUACUGAUAGUAAAUCAGUUAUUUGAAUAGGAGUUAACGGCUUUAUUAUUAAUUUUCUAUCCAUUGAUAGUUAGAUUGAAAUAUAUUGAAUAAAGGUUGUUUCAUGCUCAUUAUUUACUGUCGAAAUUGUAAACAGUUUGCGGUGAGGUGCACUUCACUAACUGGCCAUUUAUUUUAACAACUAUAACACUUGUGUAUCCCUUCAGGAUUUGUAACUGGAAUUUACUAUUACUUUAUUCAGCCUGCUAUUUUAUACCAGCCAGUUAUUACAACCACUGUAUUUGUAUAUUCCUUCAGGAUCUGUGGUUGAGGUCAAUCUUCUUGUUCAACUUGGUUAUUUGUCUGGUUUAUUAUCUGGUAAAUUUGGAGUUUGUUGAACUCUGUUUUAAUUUAGUUUUGGUACUGAAGUUUGAGGUUAAGCCUAAGCCAAGUGUAGGCUGAUAUAAGGAUCCUGUUUUCAGGAUUAGUUUAGGCAUAUAGGUUAUAGGAAGCCCUUCUGGCAUUUGUUGUUGAUUAUAGGUUAUAGGAAGCCCUUCUGGCAUUUGUUGUUGAUUAUAGUUUUUAGGAAGCCCUUCUGGCGUUUGUUAGUGUUAGGUAAAGUUUUGGGAAGC